AUGCAUGAGUUAACUAAGGAAAACAUUGAGCGUAUGAAUGCUAAAUAUAAACUUGCUGGAGAUAAGGGUAGAAAACAUGUUGUGUUUGCACCUGGAGAUCUUGUUUGGUUACAUUUGCGUAAGGAUAGAUUUCCUGAUUUGCGCAAAUCAAAGCUAAUGCCACGUGCUGAUGGUCCUUUUAAGGUGUUAGAGAAAAUAAAUGAUAAUGCAUAUAAACUUGAGCUGCCUGCAGAUUUUGGGGUUAGUCCCACUUUUAAUAUUGCAGAUUUGAAGCCUUAUUUGGGUGAGGAAGAUGAGCUUCCGUCGAGGACGACUUCAUUUCAAGAAGGGGAGGAUGAUGAUGACAUCAAUACAAUUAUUACACCCACAGUCCCUGCUGCUAUACAUACUGGACCAAUUACUAGAGCUCGCGCACGCCAAUUAAAUUACCAGGAAACAGACCCUCGUGGUCAGGUUGAUCGUGCUCCGGCGUGGUCGAUAACCUCUCGGAGUUGGUUUAGCGAUUGCUAA
rnacentral:rRNA from 1 species